CACCCCUCAGGCCCAGCCUGGCGUUGGGGCGCUGCGCGAGAGCGCAGGCCCCCAAGUGCAGUGGCGAGCCGGCCGGUAACCCGAGCGUAGUAGCACUCUCCGCCCCGGGACGCCGGACGGCCUCCGCCGUGAAAAACGACGAGGGGGGGCUCACGCCCUCCCGACCUUACAA
rnacentral:misc_RNA from 1 species